GCCUGAAUAGCUCAGUUGGUAGAGCGCAUGGCUCUGGUCAAUAACCUGGUCCAAAAUGUUGUGGGUUCGAUUCCCACCUCUGCCA
rnacentral:tRNA from 1 species